CCUGAUCCCUCAGGUUUAUUCACGGAAGCAACUAAACAUUUAUAUUUUAGGUAUUUUGAGGUUCUCCAAGACGUACAUCUUCCAUCGGCUUUUUAGGCGAGAACAUUCGGAACCUGAGGCAUCCAAGGAGCAGCCUGAGUAGGGAAAUUCUUCAGCCACUUUCAGAAUGACAACAAAGCCAGAAAAUACAGAUUUCAGGCACAAGAAUUCUUCACUCAGCGUAAGGCCACUAAUCUGGGAAAUAAUGUGUCCC